UACGUAGGUGGCAAGCGUUGUCCGGAAUUAUUGGGCGUAAAGCGCGCGCAGGCGGUUUCUUAAGUCUGAUGUGAAAGCCCACGGCUCAACCGUGGAGGGUCAUUGGAAACUGGGAAAACUUGAGUGCAGAAGAGAAGAGCGGAAUUCCACGUGUAGCGGUGAAAAUGCGUAGAGAUGUGGAGGAACACCAGUGGCGAAGGCGGCUCUUUGGUCUGUAACUGACGCUGAGGCGCGAAAAGCGUGGGGAGCGAACAGG
rnacentral:rRNA from 1 species